rnacentral:rRNA from 1 species
AGCGAACGCUGGCGGCAGGCCUAACACAUGCAAGUCGAACGAACCUUUCGGGGUUAGUGGCGGACGGGUGAGUAACACGUGGGAACGUGCCUUUAGGUUCGGAAUAACUCAGGGAAACUUGUGCUAAUACCGAAUGUGCCCUUCGGGGGAAAGAUUAAUCGCCUUAGAGCGGCCCGCGUCUGAUUAGCUAGUUGGUUGAGGUAAUGGCUCACCAAGGCGACGAUCAGUAGCUGGUCUGAGAGGAUGAUCAGCCACAUUGGGACUGAGACACGGCCCAAACUCCUACGGGAAGCAGCAGUGGGGAAUCUUGCGCAAUGGGCGAAAGCCUGACGCAGCCAUGCCGCGUGAAUGAUGAAGGUCUUAGGAUUGUAAAAUUCUUUCACCGGGGACGAUAAUGACGGUACCCGGAGAAGAAGCCCCGGCUAACUUCGUG